rnacentral:lncRNA from 14 species
GAAUAACCCUGCUCUCCCGUCUUGAUGUGCCGGCCCCUUUUCGUUUAGAGGGUGCUAGAGAGAAAGCUGUCCUUUAAUGUCUCAGCAGUUUAUAAAGGAGCAUGAUUGGUGUUAUCCAACAAGAUUCUAAACUUAAAUCCUCCCACUCUCAAUUAAAAGAGUCAGCAAUUAAAGAAAGUUGAUACGUAGACCGUACAAAAUAUCAGGAUGCAGAAGC